CCUACAUUUUUGCCCACCUGGAGAGGAAUGCAGGACUCCUAGACCUGUAGGGAAUUCCAGACUGACUGUCACAGGCCUGGUGUAAAGCAAGACUUUGAUGGUGGCCAUCUUAAUAAAAAGUCUAAGCACUUUUGCAACCCUGCUUUCAGGAAAUACUACUCUACAGCCAAUCUUAGAUCUUUUAGACUGUGAACCAUGGAGAUAAUCACCCCCAGCUGUGGUGCUGGCUGUUGAGAUGGACACCUGCUCAUUGGUAUCCACCUGCUGUGUAUAGUCUUAUACUUGGUCUACCCUAAACAGCUCAGGUGGGUUUUUCCUCAUGCCAUAAUAGUCAACAAAUUCAGGCUUUGAGCGAGAGGACAAGAACUCUACACAAAAAAUACCUAGCCUGUGUUCUCCACAAUUCAUAUGUAAA